rnacentral:pre_miRNA from 1 species
ACAUACUUCUUUAUAUGUCCAUAUGAAAGUGCCAAUGCUAUGGAAUGUAAAGAAGUAUGUAU